UACGUAGGGGGCUAGCGUUGUCCGGAACCAUUGGGCGUAAAGCGCGUGUAGGCGGUCCGGUAAGUCCGCUGUGAAAGUCGGGGGCUCAACCCUCGAAUGCCGGUGGAUACUGUCGGGCUAGAGUGCGGAAGAGGCGAGUGGAAUUCCUGGUGUAGCGGUGAAAUGCGCAGAUAUCAGGAGGAACACCAAUUGCGAAGGCAGCUCGCUGGGACGUUACUGACGCUGAGACGCGAAAGCGUGGGGAGCAAACAGG
rnacentral:rRNA from 1 species